rnacentral:lncRNA from 1 species
GUGGCCCGGUGCCAGGAAUGUUAUGGCCGAUCUUGCCUCUCGUGGGGAUAAAACACAGAGAAGUCAUUUCUCAGGAAACUAGCCUGUGGCAAAGCCUGGGUGAGGCAGGAGAUACUCGAGGUAUCACGGCCACACGAUGAGCAUCGCACCGGGCAGGUCCCACGUGUCUGUGGCCACUUUCAGAGACAAGAGUGUCCAGUCUCCUGGGCCAUCUGAUAAAUGUUUGGAACAAAAUUUCCCUUUGCAGCCAGGUGCACUGCUGUCCUGCUCACAACCUGUAGUUUUGCUGGGAGCUUGAAGAAUGUCUCAGAGGUGGUACAACUCAACUGAUGCAAUUUCGGCC